rnacentral:tRNA from 2 species
GCCGUCAUAGCUCCAGCGGUAGAGCGCGUCAUUGGUAAUGACGAGGUCACUGGUUCAAAUCCAGUUGACGGCACCA